UUACCAAGACUUGGUCACAAUGUUGUCAAAAAGUAAUAUCACGCUGACAAAAAGAGACUCACUGGCGAUGUCAUCAGAUCAUAGUGUGCUUGCUGGGUUGUGUAUUAAUGGUCAACUUCAGGAAAACUCUGGAGGGUUCUCAUAUUACUGACAACAUUCAGCACCACUGAGGAGUAACCAAAUAAAAUGUGGCUUUUAAAUGUGCUUGCUGUUAUUAAUAUGCAUGCUGUACACUUCAAUCAGUAAUGAUCUUUUCUGUCUUACAGCUGCUUCAAGUAUUCAGAGUUCCGUGAAUACACCUUUAACAAAUACAACUUCAACAAACACAUCUUCAACCCUGAUUCCAACUAACUCCACAGUACAAGACGCCCUUGUUAAUGCGACUACCGCCAACUCAAGCUUGAACAUUAUUCCAAAUUCUGUCAGUUUCACCCGGGGUUUUGCUUGAACCAAUUUAUAGAUGAAUCUUCGAAACUUCAUCCGGAUGGUAAUUAAUGGUUUCAGGAGUGGCUCAACUGUCACAAAUUCCAGCCUUGAAUUUACUGCCAAUGCACCAUCCCAGCUGACUCCACAGUAAAAGACGUCCUUGUUAAUGCGACUAGCACCAACUCAAACUUGAACAUUAUUCCAAAUUCUAUAAAUGUCACCCAGGUUCCUGGUCAGUAUUCACUUUCACUGAUACUGCAUUUUAAUAACGUUUUGUACAUGUAAGUAUUCUAAUUCCUAUUUAACCUCUCAAUUAAUAGUGACAAACACAACUUAAAAAACAUAAAGGGAAUAUGGGGAAUUCCCUUUAUCACAGAAUAUAUAUAAGGGAUUAAAGGGAAUAUGGGGGAAAUGAUUCAUUCUUAUAAACACAGCUAUCUUCACAUGUACUAAUAUUUUGAAUUGUUGAAACUGGAGACUUAAUGAGGGUUCUGAUUUGCCUGAAAAUUUCCCCACAUUCUGACAGUCCUACUGUCUUUCUUUCACUUAUAUUUAAAUUCAUUGGAGAUUUUUUACAACCAUUUUAAAGUUAACAGUAUAAAUUAAUGUUGUACUGUACAGUAUAAUUUCACAACACUUAUCUGCAUACACAAACCUACAUAUAACUUCUUUAAAUCUGUGUACAAUGAUUAUAAACAUCGUAUGAAAUAAAGCUUUGCACAAUUCUUUAUACUUCAUGCAUAUAAUUUAAUCAUUUAAUGACAAUCACAACCAUAUGUGUUUUUUCCUGAAACUGUUGCCAAAAAUUGGCAAAAUUGUAUAGGAUUGUGUGCUGCGAAAAGGGCCGUUGUGGGUGCAAUCGAGAAAGAGCCACGACACCUGUUUAAUCAGUUUAUCUUCGCUUUUAAUAGACUACUAGGUGUGGUUUCUGUUUGGUUGGAAUUAAAACCUGCACCCACACCAGCCCUUUCUGGACAAGAUUGCUCACCCCUACUGUAGAAUGAAAAGAGACCCAAAACUCCAGCAUGACAGUGGCCCUGUGUACAAAGUGAGCUUCAUGGAUUGCCAUGCCAAAAGAACUUGAGCGGCCUGCACAGAGCCCUGACCUCAACCCCACUGAACACUGAAGGCCGACUGCACCUCAGGCCUCCGUGGCCGACAUCAGUGCCUGACCUCACUAAUGCUCUUGUGACUGAAUGAACACAAAUCCCUACAGUCACCCUCCAAAAUCUAGUGGAAAACCUUCCCAGAAGAGUGGAGGCUGUUAUGAAAGAGAGACCAACUUCAUGUUAAUGCCCAUGUUAAAUUAAAUAUAAAAUAACAAAAUUAAAUAAAACGUUAUCUUACUCAUGGCCAAAAUGUUUGGUUCCUAAAGUAAGAUAUCUGAAAAAAGUAACAUUUUCCUAUUCAUUUCACGAGGAGCUCUCGCUAUUACUUUACUAUAUGUACUGUAUUGUCUGCAGAAUAAACAAAUAAAUAUAAAAAAAAUGAAAUGAAUUCACUGUACAUUCGAUUAAAGGUUGCUGUAUAGAUGGCAUUGCUGACUAAUAUACUGUAUGGCACUGAGGACCAGCUGAUUGUGCUGCUCACUAAUACAUGCUGCUGAAGGCAUUUUGUAAAUUGCUGGAGGCAAUUUUAAUGUAUGUACUAAGUUCUUAAAUUUACUCGUGGUAGAAUUAAAGCUUAGUCCAUACAGGCUACAAGGUAACAUUCCAUAGUUUGAUUCUGAACUCAGGUUACUGUUUCCUCCAACCUCCCAAAAACAUGCUGGUAGGAUCCGGAGGCACAUAAGAUCCAGCUGAACAUGGCAGUAGCCAUCAGCAUCUUCCCAUCAGAGGUAGAGGCUGUUUGCACGCAUC